AGCGAACGCUGGCGGCAGGCCUAACACAUGCAAGUCGAACGAACUCUUCGGAGUUAGUGGCGGACGGGUGAGUAACACGUGGGAACGUGCCUUUUGGUUCGGAAUAACUCAGGGAAACUUGUGCUAAUACCGAAUGUGCCCUUCGGGGGAAAGAUUUAUCGCCAUUAGAGCGGCCCGCGUCUGAUUAGCUAGUUGGUGAGGUAACGGCUCACCAAGGCGACGAUCAGUAGCUGGUCUGAGAGGAUGACCAGCCACACUGGGACUGGGACACGGCCCAGACUCCUACGGGAGGCAGGAGUGGGGAAUCUUGCGCAAUGGGCGAAAGCCUGACGCAGCCAUGCCGCGUGAAUGAUGAAGGUCUUAGGAUUGUAAAAUUCUUUCACCGGGGACGAUAAUGACGGUACCCGGAGAAGAAGCCCCGGCUAACUUCGUG
rnacentral:rRNA from 1 species